rnacentral:rRNA from 1 species
GACAGAGGUGCCAAGCGUUAGGCGGAAUCACUGGGCUUAAAGCGUGUGUAGGCGGAUCGUUAAGUGCUUUGUGAAAUCCCACGGCUCAACCGUGGAAUAGCUUGGCAUACUGGCGGUCUUGAGCCACUUAGGGGUCGCUGGAACAAACGGUGGAGCGGUGAAAUGCGUAGAUAUCGUUUGGAACGCCAAAGGUGAAAACAGGCGACUGGGAGUGUGCUGACGCUGAGACACGAAAGCCAGGGGAG